rnacentral:rRNA from 1 species
CGUAACACGUGGGCAACCUGCCCUGAAGCGGGGGACAACAACUCGAAAGAGUUGCUAAUACCGCAUGUGAAUCGCCUAUGGCAUCAUGGGAAAUUCAAAGCCUUCGGGCACUUCAGGAUGGGCCCGCGGCCUAUCAGCUUGUUGGUGAGGUAACGGCCCACCAAGGCGACGACGGGUAGCUGGUCUGAGAGGACGAUCAGCCGGAUUGGGACUGAGAUACGGCCCAG